GUGAGUACUACGGAGACCAGCACCGACCUUGGGCCUGAACUUCAGACCUCAGACCAAGCAGCAAUGUAGCUCCUCAAAUGCCACUUGUUCCCAGGCCAUUGUCAGGAUUUCAUCCUAUCUGCAAUAUCACUUUAUUAUAUCAGUAUUUAUUACUAUACUAUAUUCAUGGUCAAAAGAAAAAGGCUCUCCACAAGGUGAGAUGUUUUUCUGUGCCAUCCACUCUUACUAUGAUGUGCCACCACGCACCCAAACCGUUCAGGUUAGAAAAGAGGAGAAGAACAAUCACAUUUCUCUUGACACAAGCUGCUCUCAGCACUGGAAAUGUGGAUUAUCUUGCACAGUCAGCACUGGCUCUUACGAUUCAGAGUCCUGGUCUCUGAUUCACGGUCAAAAGAAAAAGGUGAGAGAAAAAUCAGGCAAGCAAUGUUCAGAAAUAAAUGUGUACUGGGGUAUGAA